GUGCUCACUUCAGCAGCACAUAUAUUAAAACUGGAAUGACACAGAGAAUAUUAGCAUGUCCCCCGCACAAGGAUGACAUGCAAAUUUGUGAACCAUUCCAUUUUUUU